rnacentral:rRNA from 1 species
AGAGUUUGAUCCUGGCUCAGGAUGAACGCUGGCGGCGUGCCUAAUACAUGCAAGUCGAGCGAACGGACGAGAAGCUUGCUUCUCUGAUGUUAGCGGCGGACGGGUGAGUAACACGUGGAUAACCUACCUAUAAGACUGGGAUAACUUCGGGAAACCGGAGCUAAUACCGGAUAAUAUUUUGAACCGCAUGGUUCAAAAGUAAAAGACGGUCUUGCUGUCACUUAUAGAUGGAUCCGCGCUGCAUUAGCUAGUUGGUAAGGUAACGGCUUACCAAGGCAACGAUGCAUAGCCGACCUGAGAGGGUGAUCGGCCACACUGGAACUGAGACACGGUCCAGACUCCUACGGGAGGCAGCAGUAGGGAAUCUUCCGCAAUGGGCGAAAGCCUGACGGAGCAACGCCGCGUGAGUGAUGAAGGUCUUCGGAUCGUAAAACUCUGUUAUUAGGGAAGAACAUAUGUGUAAGUAACUGUGCACAUCUUGACGGUACCUAAUCAGAAAGCCACGGCUAACUACGUGCCAGCAGCCGCGGUAAUACGUAGGUGGCAAGCGUUAUCCGGAAUUAUUGGGCGUAAAGCGCGCGUAGGCGGUUUUUUAAGUCUGAUGUGAAAGCCCACGGCUCAACCGUGGAGGGUCAUUGGAAACUGGAAAACUUGAGUGCAGAAGAGGAAAGUGGAAUUCCAUGUGUAGCGGUGAAAUGCGCAGAGAUAUGGAGGAACACCAGUGGCGAAGGCGACUUUCUGGUCUGUAACUGACGCUGAUGUGCGAAAGCGUGGGGAUCAAACAGGAUUAGAUACCCUGGUAGUCCACGCCGUAAACGAUGAGUGCUAAGUGUUAGGGGGUUUCCGCCCCUUAGUGCUGCAGCUAACGCAUUAAGCACUCCGCCUGGGGAGUACGACCGCAAGGUUGAAACUCAAAGGAAUUGACGGGGACCCGCACAAGCGGUGGAGCAUGUGGUUUAAUUCGAAGCAACGCGAAGAACCUUACCAAAU